rnacentral:rRNA from 1 species
GAUGAACGCUGGCGGCGUGCCUAACACAUGCAAGUCGAGCGAUUCUCUUCGGAGAAGAGCGGCGGACGGGUGAGUAACGCGUGGGUAACCUGCCCUGUACACACGGAUAACAUACCGAAAGGUAUGCUAAUACGAGAUAAUAUGCUUUUAUCGCAUGGUAGAAGUAUCAAAGCUUCGGCGGUACAGGAUGGACCCGCGUCUGAUUAGCUAGUUGGUAAGGUAACGGCUUACCAAGGCGACGAUCAGUAGCCGACCUGAGAGGGUGAUCGGCCACACUGGAACUGAGACACGGUCCAAACUCCUACGGGAGGCAGCAGUGGGGAAUAUUGCACAAUGGGCGAAAGCCUGAUGCAGCAACGCCGCGUGAGCGAUGAAGGCCUUCGGGUCGUAAAGCUCUGUCCUCAAGGAAGAUAAUGACGGUACUUGAGGAGGAAGCCCCGGCUAACUACGUGCCAGCAGCCGCCGUAAGAC